rnacentral:rRNA from 1 species
AUGAUAUCUUACAGGGAGAGAUGGCUGAGGAGAGAGGUGAAGACGAAGUUGCUUCAGUUGUGCGCAAUUGAAAGAACUAUAGCCCAGCAAAGGUCCAGAAUUACGAGGCUACAUCUGGGGGAUGCAAAUACUUCAUACUUUCACAUUCAAGCUAAUCACAUAAGAAGAAAGACUUUUAUUGGUACCCUAUCUGAUGGUUUAUCGAUUGUUCCUUCUCAUGAGAGCACAGAACAAACUCCCUGUAGUCACUUUAUAGAAAGGUUCGGGACGCCAACAGUUAGGCAAAGCACUUUGGUCCUCGAUUUUCUAGGCAUUAAUUCAGCAGAUUUGAGCAAUCUCGAGCUUCCUUUUUCAGAAGAGGAAGUUUGGAAGGCGAUCAAGGACACGCCAAAGAAAAAAGCACCUGGGCAGGAUGGCUAUAACAUGGUUUUCUAUCAGAACUGUUGGCAAGUGAUUAAGAAACAUAUGAUGGAAGUUUUUGACUGUAUUCAUUCACUCCAUUUUCAGGCUUUUGACAAGAUCAACAGUGCCCAUCUUGUUUUGAUGCCUAAACGUCAAGGAGCAUGUGGGCCUAAUGAUUUUCGUCCAAUUAGCUUAGUACACAGCCUGGCAAAAAUAGUCUCCAAGGUGCUGGUCAGAAGACUGGCUAAUGUCCUGCCAAACACAUAG